rnacentral:rRNA from 1 species
AACGAACGCUGGCGGCAUGCUUAACACAUGCAAGUCGAACGGAAACGCCCUGCUUUUUUGCGCUGCUCGAGUGGCGGACGGGUGAGUAACACGUGAGUAACGUACCCUAGUUUUUGGGAUCAGUUAAGGCCGGUGGGCUUACUCCAGCAUCGGAUCUCUCGCUCCAGGGUGGGCCUGGGAACGUUUGGGCGGUUGGGGAUGGACUCGCGGAUUAUCGGCUUGUUGGUGGGCUAGUGGAAUACCAAGGGAUUGACGGGUAGCUGGCCUGAGAGGGCGACCGGACACAAUAGGACUGAGAUAGGACCCAGACUCGUAUGGGAGGCAACAGUGGGGAAUAUUACACAAGGGGAGGGAGCCUGAUGCGACAACGCCGCGUGUGGUAAGACGUCCUGUGGGUUGUAAACCGCAGCCGCCUGAGACGAAGCGUUAGUGACGGUAAUGGGUAAAGAAGCACCGGCUAACUACGUG